rnacentral:rRNA from 1 species
ACAGCAGUAGCCACGGGAACACAGAGGGUGCAAGCGUUAAUCGGAAUUACUGGGCGUAAAGCGCGCGUAGGUGGUUCGCCAAGUUGGAUGUGAAAUCCCCGGGCUCAACCUGGGAACUGCAUCCAAAACUGGCGAGCUAGAGUAUGGUAGAGGGUGGUGGAAUUUCCUGUGUAGCGGUGAAAUGCGUAGAUAUAGGAAGGAACAUCAGUGGCGAAGGCGACCACCUGGACUGAUACUGACACUGAGGUGCGAAAGCGUGGGGAGCAAACAGGAUUAGAUACCCCAGUAGUCCCUGUCUCUUAUAC